rnacentral:rRNA from 1 species
GACGAACGCUGGCGGCGUGCCUAAUACAUGCAAGUAGAACGCUGACGGAGGAGCUUGCUCUUCUGGAUGAGUUGCGAACGGGUGAGUAACGCGUAGGUAACCUGCCUGGUAGCGGGGGAUAACUAUUGGAAACGAUAGCUAAUACCGCAUAAGAGUAGAUGUUGCAUGACAUUUACUUAAAAGGUGCAAUUGCAUCACUACCAGAUGGACCUGCGUUGUAUUAGCUAGUUGGUGGGGUAACGGCUUACCAAGGCGGCGAUACAUAGCCGACCUGAGAGGGUGGUCCGCCACACUGGGACUGAGACACGGCCCAGACUCCUACGGGAGGCAGCAGUAGGGAAUCUUCGGCAAUGGGCGGAAGUCUGACCGAGCAACGCCGCGUGAGUGAAGAAGGUUUUCGGAUCGUAAAGCUCUGUUGUAAGGGAAGAACGAGUGUGAAGUUGGAAAGUUCACACUGUGACGGUAUCUUACCAGGAAGGGACGGCUAACUACGUG